UACGUAGGGGGCGAGCGUUGUCCGGAUUUAUUGGGCGUAAAGAGCUCGUAGGCGGUUUGGCAAGUCGGGUGUGAAAACUCCGGGCUCAACUCGGAGACGCCACUCGAUACUGCCAUGACUCGAGUCCGGUAGGGGAGUGGCGGAAUUCCUGGUGUAGCGGUGAAAUGCGCAGAUAUCAGGAGGAACACCGGUGGCGAAGGCGGUUCUCUGGGCAUUACCUGACGCUGAGGAGCGAAAGUGUGGGGAGCGAACAGG
rnacentral:rRNA from 1 species